rnacentral:rRNA from 1 species
GAAUAUUGGACAAUGGGGGCAACCCUGAUCCAGCCAUGCCGCGUGAGUGACGAAGGCCUUAGGGUUGUAAAGCUCUUUUGGCGGGGACGAUAAUGACGGUACCCGCAGAAUAAGCCCCGGCUAACUUCGUGCCAGCAGCCGCGGGAAUACGAAGGGGGCUAGCGUUGUUCGGAAUCACUGGGCGUAAAGAGCACGUAGGCGGACUUGUUAGUCAGGGGUGAAAUCCCGGGGCUCAACCUCGGAACUGCCUUUGAAACUGCAAGUCUUGAGUCCGAGAGAGGUGAGUGGAAUUCCUAGUGUAGAGGUGAAAUUCGUAGAUAUUAGGAAGAACGCCAGUGGCGAAGGCGGCUCACUGGCUCGGUACUGACGCUGAGGUGCGAAAGCGUGGGGAGCAAAC